AAGGCCGGCGGGACCGGUCGCCUUCUGAGGCGCUCAGACUUGUCGCCGGCAGUUUGUUGACAGUGUGCGAGUGUUGUGAAAAAAAGAAAAAUGCGAAUUUGCAAGCCUCGCUUUUGAAGGAAAGAGAAAAUAAAACAAAGGGAAAGUGAAAAAUCGGUGGUUUUACAUCACUCCAGCUUCCGACUGAUUUCCGGGACCCUGGAUACAAUAUCGGGGACAGAAAGAGGCCUAUCUUGUCCCUUGCUUGCUUGCUUUUGCUGUCUUCUGCCUGCCAUGAACUGUUUCUGCGCUGCGAUGCUCUUCUUCCAUGACGCCCUGCCUCGGAGCCAGCCAACUGUGGACCGAAACCUUUACAAAUGAUCUAACUCUGUUGAACCUCUUUUGGAUGCUCCUGCAUGCCGGGCAUGGUACAAGACACUAGCUGCCGUGUGAUUGACUACUGCCAGGAUGGAGAUGUUACCAGACUCAGGAGACCCGGAAGGCUCCACCUGGAGGUGGAGGAGGCCAGCGGGAGGCUCCGCAGGGUAGAAAUGCCGCACAGGAAUCGCUGGUGCUGAUGUCGAGGGAACCAUCCCUUGCAAGAAAGUCAAAUUCGCAAAAGAAGCUGAUAAGAAAUGCUUUGAAGAUUACAUGAAAUCAAGCAAAGGCGAAUUUGAAGAAGAGAGAUCAGAAAGAGGAAAACCUUUUACAUGGGAGGCCACACAGCAAAUAAGUACAUCCUUGCUAAUUAAAAAAACUACCAGAUCUUUCAUGGUGAAAACAGGAACCUAGAAGGCAUGGUUGCUCUUCUAGAAGGCUGCGAGGAUGAUUGGGAUCCCAUGUAUGCCGUGUGUGAGUGUGUGUGGUACUGGGGAUGGAACCAGGGCCUGGACCAUGCUAUGCAAGUGCCCUACCACUGUGCUGUACCUAGUCUCAUCCUCACAAAUGCCACUUUAAAGGAUAGUUUCGAAAUAGAACAAUGCUAACAAAUUUGGUAAUUACCUGCCUUUGUAACUAACUGCUACUUGUCAUUUAUACCAGGGCUUAACACAAAAAGGACUGAUGUCAUCUGUGUGUGUUCCGGAGAUCACAGUACUACACACUGGGGAAGCACUCUACCACUGAGCUAGGACC